GUGUUAUCAAGAAAGGCAGAGGGAAUAGACGUUGAAACCUUGGCAACCCUUUAAGAACCGAGAUAACUAUCAAGGAAUUAAAGAAGGUGCUACAUUCUACUUAGUAAUUUUUAAAAUUAUUAGACAGAUAACGA
rnacentral:ncRNA from 1 species